GCACAAGCAGCGGAGCGUGUGGUUUAAUUCGAAGCAACGCGAAGAACCUUACCAGGUCUUGACAUCCCUGACAACCCGAGAGAUCGGGCGUUCCCCUUCGGGGGACAGGGUGACAGGUGGUGCAUGGUUGUCGUCAGCUCGUGUCGUGAGAUGUUGGGUUAAGUCCCGCAAUGAGCGCAACCCUCGACCUUAGUUGCCAGCAUUCAGUUGGGCACUCUAAGGUGACUGCCGGCUAAAAGUCGGAGGAAGGUGGGGAUGACGUCAAAUCAUCAUGCCCCUUAUGACCUGGACUACACACGUGCUACAAUGGGCGGUACAAAGGGUCGCGAACCCGCGAGGGGGAGCCAAUCCCAAAAAGCCGCUCUCAGUUCGGAUUGCAGGCUGCAACUCGCCUGCAUGAAGCCGGAAUCGCUAGUAAUCGCGGAUCAGCAUGCCGCGGUGAAUACGUUCCCGGGCCUU
rnacentral:rRNA from 1 species